UGCAGUCGAACGGACCCUUCGGGGUUUAGUGGCGGACGGGUGAAGUAACACGUGGGAACGUGCCUUUUGGUUCGGAAUAGCUCCUGGAAACGGGUGGUAAUGCCGAAUGUGCCCUUAGGGGGAAAGAUUUAUCGCCAUUAGAGCGGCCCGCGUCUGAUUAGCUAGUUGGUGAGGUAAAGGCUCACCAAGGCGACGAUCAGUAGCUGGUCUGAGAGGAUGACCAGCCACAUUGGGACUGAGACACGGCCCAAACUCCUACGGGAGGCAGCAGUGGGGAAUCUUGCGCAAUGGGCGAAAGCCUGACGCAGCCAUGCCGCGUGAAUGAUGAAGGUCUUAGGAUUGUAAAAUUCUUUCACCGGGGACGAUAAUGACGGUACCCGGAGAAGAAGCCCCGGCUAACUUCGUGCCAGCAGCCGCGGUAAUACGAAGGGGGCUAGCGUUGCUCGGAAUUACUGGGCGUAAAGGGAGCGUAGGCGGACAUUUAAGUCAGGGGUGAAAUCCCAGAGCUCAACUCUGGAACUGCCUUUGAUACUGGGUGUCUUGAGUGUGAUAGAGGUAUGUGGAACUCCGAGUGUAGAGGUGAAAUUCGUAGAUAUUCGGAAGAACACCAGUGGCGAAGGCGACAUACUGGAUCAUUACUGACGCUGAGGCUCGAAAGCGUGGGGAGCAAACA
rnacentral:rRNA from 1 species